UGAAAAGCUGUGACCGGGAAGAGUACGUCGCGCGCAUGCAUAAAGGGAGUCUGCACCUUGACUGGGAGUGCGGAUAUGCAAAACGCCUCGGAAGUUCACCCCGCGAGCUGCCUGACGGGACCAGCAGCAAUGCUGUAAAGACAGGCCGGUGAAGAGCCGUUACGUAAAUGAGUGAUUGCGCCUUGUGCGCAUUAACUAGGGUGGUACCGCGAAUAAUGCCUCGUCCCUUUU
rnacentral:ncRNA from 1 species